rnacentral:tRNA from 1 species
GAGGGUGUAGCUCAGUAGUAGAGUGUGUGUUUAGCACGCAUGAAGUCCUGGGCUCAAUUCCCAGUACCUCUA